UGUUAAAUCAAAGAGCAAACAAGUUCUUUCUGUUAAAAAUUGGCAUGGUUAACAGAAUAACCAAACAAUUACGCAUGAGAUGCAACAUGCAUCAUUUUGACAUAUAGAGAUCAGUUUUUAAUAGUAGAAUUGGAUAGAAUUUUUAACA
rfam:Gossypium raimondii Chr10_contig_23, whole genome shotgun sequence.